UCCCUUAGUAGCGGCGAGCGAACAGGGAAGAGCCCAGCGCCGAAUUCCGCGUCUCAAAGGGCGUUUGGAACAUGUGGCGUUUAGGAGGAAUCUCUCCGAGGGCAGACGGUGUCGCAAGUCCCCCUGAACGGGGCUGUGAUCCAGAGCGGGUGCGAGGCCCAUAGCUGGUACCGUCUCCUUUGGGUGUCCCCUCCUUGGAGUCGGGUUGCUUGGGAGUGCAGCCCUAAUUGGGUGGUAAACUCCACCUAAGGCUAAAUACGUCCGUGAGACCGAUAGCAAACAAGUACCGUGAGGGAAAGUUGCAAAGAACUUUGAAGAGAGAGUUCAAGAGUACGUGAAACCGCUCAGAGGCAAACGGGUGGGCCCACGAAAGCCGAAGGCGGGGGGAUUCAGUCGAGAGGACGGUGGGGCAGGACUGGCUGGUUGGACGGACCGUGCCAGGCCGGGUCAGUUCCCGAGAUCUGCCGCCUUUCGACGCAUUUCCCCCUGCUUAGUAGGACGCCGCAACCGGUUGGCGCUGCAGCCAUAAGGGAGAGUAAAUGGAAGGUAGCCAGUGAGUUCUUCUUCGGAGGCGCGAGCUGGUCCUAAGCCGACUCUCCUGGUGCUUGUGGCCCGACCGUGGUCGUGAGUCCCUCAACGGGAUGUCGCCGAGCCCUCUGACAGGAGCGGGAGAAAUGGCAGGCUGCUUUCCGCGGAAAAAAUCGAUCGCUUCACGCGUGCAGUGGGCGAUCUCCGGAGGUAGCUGCUGGUGCAUUUUUCUCCUGCGCUGGGCACAGGCAGUUGGCGGCGAGUAGGUCGGUCACCCACCCGACCCGUCUUGAAACACGGACCAAGGAGUCUAACAUGUGCGCGAGUCAUUGGGUCUUGAACAAGCCCAAAGGCGCAAUGAAAGUGAAGACCAGCACUGAAGCUGGUGGAGUUGGGAAACUGCGUCACUGAAGAUGCAGUUGCACCAACGGCCCGUCCCGUCCGCAUCGUCGGUGGGGCGGAGCGAGAGCGUACACGUUGGGACCCGAAAGAUGGUGAACUAUGCCUGGGCAGGACGAAGCCAGAGGAAACUCUGGUGGAGGUCCG
rnacentral:rRNA from 2 species